rnacentral:lncRNA from 1 species
GAAUAAAUUGGUGGGGGUGUAUUCCUGUUAUGAUUCCGUAUUCAAUGUUCCGUGUUCCGUGUUCCAUGUUUAUUACGAAUAUGUGUGCUUUCCUCUGCUGUAUAUUCCUGCAUUCCUGUUUUCCUCUGUUUUAUAUUGUUUUAUAUUCCCUAUGGGUGCCGUAUCUAUGUUAUGUCAUCUGCUUCUGUGCUGUACUAUGUGUUUGUGUGAUAUCUCGUGACUUGAGCCGGGGGUCUUUCGGAAACAGCCUUUCUACUUCAUCAGAGGUAGAGGUAUGGACUGCGUACAUCUUACCCCCCCCAGACCCCACUAAGUGGGAAUACACUGGGUUUGUUGUU